GAGAGAGAGAGAGAGAGAGAGAGAGAGAAGACUCAAGGAUGACACCUAGGUUGUUAUCAGAGGUCAAUGGAAUGAAUCUGAACUUUCUCAGAGUCCACCAGUGACAUAAAAGAGCAUGGACAAAGCUGGAGAAAGUCCCAGAUGGCAUCUCAAGGGUCCUCAGUUAACAGUGUGGCUACAUUAAGGCCUUCUUUCACUCUGGAGAACAACCACUGUCAGAUCCCUUUGACAUGAGUCUAAUUUCCUCGUUCAGUAAAGUCUAAUUAAAUUCAUGCUCUACUGA